GAUGAACGCUGGCGGCGUGCCUAAUACAUGCAAGUCGAGCGAACGGACGAGAAGCUUGCUUCUCUGAUGUUAGCGGCGGACGGGUGAGUAACACGUGGAUAACCUACCUAUAAGACUGGGAUAACUUCGGGAAACCGUAGCUAAUACCGGAUAAUAUUUUGAACCGCAUGGUUCAAAAGUGUAAGACGGUCUUGCUGUCACUUAUAGAUGGAUCCGCGCUGCAUUAGCUAGUUGGUAAGGUAACGGCUUACCAAGGCAACGAUGCAUAGCCGACCUGAGAGGGUGAUCGGCCACCCUGGAACUGAGACACGGUCCAGACUCCUACGGGAGGCAGCAGUAGGGAAUCUUCCGCAAUGGGCGAAAGCCUGACGGAGCAACGCCGCGUGAGUGAUGAAGGUCUUCGGAUCGUAAAACUCUGUUAUUAGGGAAGAACAUAUGUGUAAGUAACUGUGCACAUCUUGACGGUACCUAAUCAGAAAGCCACGGCUAACUACGUG
rnacentral:rRNA from 1 species